GACGAACGCUGGCGGCGUGCCUAAUACAUGCAAGUUGAGCGCUGAAGGUUGGUACUUGUACCGACUGGAUGAGCAGCGCACGGGUGAGUAACGCGUGGGGAAUCUGCCUUUGAGCGGGGGACAACAUUUGGAAACGAAUGCUAAUACCGCAUAAAAACUUUAAACACAAGUUUUAAGUUUGAAAGAUGCAAUUGCAUCACUCAAAGAUGAUCCCGCGUUGUAUUAGCUAGUUGGUGAGGUAAAGGCUCACCAAGGCGAUGAUACAUAGCCGACCUGAGAGGAUGAUCAGCCGCAAUGAGACUGAGACACGGCCCAAACUCCGACGGGAGACAGCAGUAGGGAAUCUUCGGCAAUGGACGAAAGUCUGACCGAGCAACGCCGCGUGAGUGAAGAAGGAUGUCGGAUCGUAAAACUCUGUUGGUAGAGAAGAACGUUGGUGAGAGUGGAAAGCUCAUCAAGUGACGGUAACUACCCAGAAAGGGACGGCUAACUACGUG
rnacentral:rRNA from 1 species